AUGAAAAGCAGCACGCUGAUGGUGAUCAUGGUCCUCCAGGCCACUCUGGUCAUGGGGAUCUUUAUCCUCCCGGACAUGUGCAACGGAGAUGUGCAUGCAACGUCCGUGGGUGAGGGCAAGGCCAUCGACCUCAACCUGGGCAAGCUAAGGUGCUGCAGCAACUGCAACUCCUCCUCGGGCCUCUACACAUGCGAAGACGUCGUGAAGAUAUGCGACCCUGUCUGCAAGCGAUGCGCCGUCGUGAAGAAGAACCUUGUCAAGGAGUUCAGGUGCACCGACACCUUCCUCGGUCUGUGCGAAAAUCCGUGCAAGAACCACUGA
rnacentral:rRNA from 1 species